CCACGAGACAGCGAUCUUUCCCUCUCUGAGAUAAAUCCAGGCCCUAAUCUCUCUCCCAUUCCGAUGCCAACCCUAGACUCCAUCUCCUCUUCUCCAAACCUUCUCAUCGCCAUUUGCCUCUCAAACUCCAAUUCCCUCAUGAUCUCCUCCUCCAUCAUUCUAUUGUCAGCGAUUUGUCUCGCAAGGAUCUCCUCUCUCAUCCGCUCCCGCCGGAGCUCCUCUAUCAGGGCUUCCGCUCUUGACGUCAUCACCAGCGGGGCGAAGCCGGAGCUCCAGAUGUCGAUUCCAGCUGAGAUCAGGAACCAAAUCAAAGUUUGAAGGAAAAAAGAAAUCUAAAAUUAGGGUUUUUGUUAGGUACCUCGAAGAGCCUGAUCAGUGAAGUACCAGUAGUGGAGGAGUAGCACAAGGUCAUGGGCAUCAUGAACUCGGCUUGCUAAAUACUACGUCCCUCUCGAAGAAUCAGAGAAGCACAAGGUCAGAAUACGAGGUUCAUAGGUUGGUGGUCAACAGGGAUCAUAAGUUCACCAAUUUUGCUGAGGAAUACUCACAGUGAGAAUAACUUGCGGUUAUUGACGGCAUCUGUCUCUUUCUCUGAUACUCAACCAAAAACAAUAAAGGCUUCACAACCACCACUUUAUGAAGUUGUAUUGCAUAUUAACAUUAAUGUUUAAUAGGAGAGCGGAGGUCGUUUCGAGGCUGAAAUCAAAAGAGGAGUGUGCAGCUCCUUUGAUUUCAUUCCUUCAGAAUUCAUCUUAUGUUCAGGAGCACAAGGCUGAUAAGCAAUACAACAUCCAGAUGCUCAAUGAUUGGUUUAAGAGCAGAUAGAAGCUUUAUAUCAGUAUGCAAAGUUCCAAUUUGAGUGUGGGAGCUACUCUGCUGCAUCUGAAUUUUUGUAUUAAUAUCGUGCGUUGUGCACUAACAGUGAAAGGAGCCUUAGUGUACUUUGGGGAAAACUUGCAGCUGAGAUUUUAAUGCAGAACUGGGAUGAAGCUCUUGAGGAACUGAAUCGUUUGAAGAGAUAAUGACUCAAAAGGAAAUUAAGGUUAACUUGAUAAUUGAAGACUAUUAUAUGCCUUGGAUCAGAUUGCGUGGUCGAGUUUCAGGUCAGGCCAUAUUUAUUCUUGGAGGGCAUCUUAUGUUUAUGCUCAUGGCUAAUUGGACCGGAGAUGCCAUCUCGGAAGUUAUUAGCUACAACUAAUGAUUUGACUGAUGCAGAGAACUUACUCAGUCUAGCUUCAAGGUGUGUAGAAUCAUCCGAAUAAGGAAUACUUCUUGUCACAAGAUAGAAAGUGUUGAUGUACCUCAACAACUUGGGUUAGUGUAUUCGACUUAUCCGUAUGUUGUUGUUUUUUUCGUAUGUGCUAACACAUAUAAACUAUAUAUUGCGGGCCAACAGUGUCAUAUUGAUAUUGUAAACAUUUAAAUUUGUAGUAGCCUGUAUUGCGGGGUGUUCUUGAUGGCAUACAUGUUCAGUCUCGUUUCCGGUCAACCAAUUUCAAUUGACCAAAAGGAUUGUGAUAUCAACGUGAUCCUCAAGACCAAUUCCCCGGAUGCUAGAUGUCAAAUGUGAUAUCCAAUAUUUUUUUAUAUAAAUAUAUAUUUGGAAAUUAAUUUAUAAAGUAUUGUCUCAGUAUGAAACCUGUAGGACUGCUGUUGGAAUUGGUUAUGUAAAGUUCGGCCACAAUUUUGGGACAUGUAUAUAGUUUGUCAAUUCUAGGA